CUUGCUCCUUGGGUGACGAGCGGCGGACGGGUGAGUAAUGCCUGGGGAUCUGCCCGAUAGAGGGGGAUAACUACGGGAAACUGUAGCUAAUACCGCAUAACGUCUACGGACCAAAGUGGGGGCUCUUCGGACCUCAUGCUAUCGGAUGAACCCAGGUGGGAUUAGCUAGUUGGUGAGGUAAUGGCUCACCAAGGCGACGAUCUCUAACUGGUUUGAGAGAAUGACCAGUCACACUGGAACUGAGACACGGUCCAGACUCCUACGGGAGGCAGCAGUGGGGAAUAUUGCACAAUGGGCGCAAGCCUGAUGCAGCCAUGCCGCGUGUGUGAAGAAGGCCUUCGGGUUGUAAAGCACUUUCAGCGGGGAGAAAGGGCUACUAGUUAAUACCUAGUGGCAUUGACGUUACUCGCAGAAGAAGCACCGGCUAACUCCGUGCCAGCAGCCGCGGUAAUACGGAGGGUGCAAGCGUUAAUCGGAAUUACUGGGCGUAAAGCGCACGCAGGCGGUUUGUUAAGUCAGAUGUGAAAUCCCCGAGCUCAACUUGGGAACUGCAUUUGAAACUGGCAAGCUAGAGUCUUGUAGAGGGGGGUAGAAUUCCAGGUGUAGCGGUGA
rnacentral:rRNA from 1 species